ensembl:lncRNA
UGGAUAAUGAUAGGAUAUAUUCACACCUUGGAAAUGAGGUGGUGAAUUUUUUGAAUCUUCUGAUAGAGUUCAGCACAAUGAGAAUCCCCACGGAGGGACAUGGGGUGAGAAUCUGUCCCAGCGAUAGCAGGUGAUGACAGGGGGCUCUGUUUCAAUAUGUUUUGGACAGAAAAUCACAGCUUUGGUCUGCCGAAACUGUUUUGUUUGGCCUGGAGUAAAUGAAACUUAGAGCCCAAAAGGCUCAGUUAAAUUGAGCUUGAAACUGAGAACCCAUGACGCUGCUGCGAGUGCUGAGCAAAAAGAAGAGCGUUGGUGGUACUUCAGCC